UACGGAGGAUCCGAGCGUUAUCCGGAUUUAUUGGGUUUAAAGGGUGCGUAGGCGACUGGAAAGUCAGAUGUGAAAACUAUGGGCCUCCAACCAUAGCCUGCAUUUGAAACUGUACUUCUUGAGUGCUGGAGAGGCAAUCGGAAUUCCGUGUGUAGCGGUGAAAUGCGUAGAUAUUAGGAGGAACACCAGUGGCGAAGGCGACUUUCUGGACGAUAACUGACGUUGAGGCACGAAAGUGUGGGGAGCAAACAGG
rnacentral:rRNA from 1 species